CCUCCGUGUUUCCGCCGUUUUUACUAUUUCUCACUUGUCUAAAUCCUUACGCAGCGACGCCGCGUGAGGGAUGAAGGUCUUCGGAUCGUAAACCUCUGUCAGCAGGGAAGAACGGUCACUGUGCUAAUCAGCAGUGAAUUGACGGUACCUGCAAAGGAAGCACCGGCUAACUCCGUGUCAGCAGCCGCGGUAAUACGGAGGGUGCGAGCGUUAAUCGGAAUUACUGGGCGUAAAGCGCUCGUAGGCGGUAUGUCAAGUCAAGGGUGAAAUCCCCGCGCUCAACGUGGGAACUGCCUUUGAAACUGGCAAACUGGAGUGUGUGAGAGGAUAGUGGAAUUCCAGGUGUAGGAGUGAAAUCCGUAGAUAUCUGGAGGAACAUCAGUGGCGAAGGCGACUAUCUGGCACAUAACUGACGCUGAGGAGCGAAAGCGUGGGUAGCAAACAGGAUUAGAUACCCUAGUAGUC
rnacentral:rRNA from 1 species